rnacentral:rRNA from 1 species
AUUGAACGCUGGCGGCAUGCCUUACACAUGCAAGUCGAACGGCAGCGCGGGAGCAAUCCUGGCGGCGAGUGGCGAACGGGUGAGUAAUACAUCGGAACGUGCCCAAUCGUGGGGGAUAACGCAGCGAAAGCUGUGCUAAUACCGCAUACGAUCUACGGAUGAAAGCAGGGGAUCGCAAGACCUUGCGCGAAUGGAGCGGCCGAUGGCAGAUUAGGUAGUUGGUGAGGUAAAGGCUCACCAAGCCUUCGAUCUGUAGCUGGUCUGAGAGGACGACCAGCCACACUGGGACUGAGACACGGCCCAGACUCCUACGGGAGGCAGCAGUGGGGAAUUGUGGACAAUGGGCGAAAGCCUGAUCCAGCCAUGCCGCGUGCAGGAUGAAGGCCUUCGGGUUGUAAACUGCUUUUGUACGGAACGAAACGGUCUUUUCUAAUAAAGAAGGCUAAUGACGGUACCGUAAGAAUAAGCACCGGCUAACUACGUG